rnacentral:rRNA from 1 species
UACGGAGGAUGCAAGCGUUAUCCGGGAUGUUUGGGCGUAAAGCGUCCGCAGGGGGCUGUGUAAGUCUGCUGUUAAAGAGUCUAGCUCAACUAGAUAAAAGCAGUGGAAACUACACGGCUAGAGUACGUUCGGGGCAGAGGGAAUUCCUGGUGUAGCGGUGAAAUGCGUAGAGAUCGGGAGGAACACCAGUGGCGAAGGCGGCCCCCUGGGCCGUACCUGACGCUGAGACGCGAAAGCGCGGGGAGCGAACGGG